UAGCUCAGUGGUAGAGUGCAUGCCUCGCAUGCAUGAGGCCCUGGGUUCAAUCCCUAG
rnacentral:tRNA from 1 species